CCUACGGGUGGCUGCAGUGGGGAAUAUUGGACAAUGGGGGUAACCCUGAUCCAGCGACGCCGCGUGCGUGAAGAAGUAUUUCGGUAUGUAAAGCUCUAUCAGCGGGGAAGAAAGAAAUGACGGUACCUGACUAAGAAGCCCCGGCUAACUACGUGGCAGCAGCCGCGGUAAUACGUCGGGGGCAAGCGUUAUCCGGAUUUACUGGGUGUAAGGGGAGCGUAGACGGCGAGGCAAGUCUGAAGUGAAAGGCAGGGGCCCAACCCCCGGACUGCGUUGGAAACUGUAUGGCUGGAGUGCAGGGGAGGUAAGUGGAAUUCGUAGUGUAGCGGUGAAAUGCGUAGAUAUUAGGAGGAACACCAGUGGCGAAGGCGGCUUACUGGACUGUAACUGACGUUGAGGCUCGAAAGCGUGGGGAGCAAACAGGAUUAGAUACCCCUGUAGUC
rnacentral:rRNA from 1 species